rnacentral:misc_RNA from 1 species
CGACCAUCAAAAUUCGGUCAAAAUUCAGAUACCUCUCUCUCCAUAAAUUUGCAAAAUUUCCCACUUUCCCUUUUCCACCAGGCCACCACACCUGACCUCACAAAAGCAGCCGCUUUGACGCAAACCCAAACUCCAAACAAUUCAACCCAAAAAUCCCAUUCAUUCCACCGAGGAUCACCGCUACAACCACCCGUCACCGUCGCCACCACAAACGCCAGAUUCCCAAGUGGUGGGUUUCCUUAAUUUUUUGUAACUAAUAUGUCGUCACUCCUUGAUACUACACCACCUUCCACACCAGGCAAGCUUAAACCGGACAAAUCCGCGACUUACCUUCACCCUCAUCACCGUUCUCUCCGAUUGCACUCCUCUCUCUCCAAACUCACUUUCUAUUCGUUUCUUUUCCUUAUUCUCUUUCUCUUCUUCUUCCUCCUCUCUCCUCCCUCUCCUUCUCCUCCCCACCAAGUCGAAACCGAUCCACUUGGGGGCCCUCUCUGGGAGAAAAAGGUCGUCAAAUCCGCGCGUCCCAAGGUACGCGCUGGCCUAACCGUUUUGGUCACUGGUGCUGCUGGCUUUGUGGGAACCCAUGUCUCGGUCGCGCUGAAGCGUCGGGGCGACGGCGUUCUUGGCCUCGACAAUUUCAAUCACUACUACGAUACCAGCCUGAAAAGAGCCCGACAAAAGGUAUUAGAACGAUCUGGGGUUUUUAUAGUGGAAGGGGAUAUCAAUGACAUGGUAUUAUUAAAGAAGCUUUUUGAUGUGGUGCUUUUUACCCAUGUAAUGCACCUAGCUGCUCAAGCUGGGGUGCGCUACGCAAUGCAAAAUCCCAAGUCUUAUGUUCAUAGCAACAUUGGUGGAUUUGUCAAUUUGCUUGAGGUUUGUAAAUCAGCGAACCCGCAACCUGUGGUUGUGUGGGCGUCUUCGAGUUCUGUCUAUGGGCUUAAUACGAAAGUACCCUUUUCAGAGAAGGAUAGGACUGAUCAGCCUGCUAGUUUAUACGCAGCAACUAAGAAGGCAGGAGAGGAAAUUGCUCACACUUACAAUCAUAUUUAUGGUCUCUCCAUUACUGGGUUGCGGUUUUUCACGGUUUAUGGGCCAUGGGGAAGGCCCGACAUGGCGUAUUUCUUUUUUACUAAGGAUAUUUUGAAGGGGAAGGAGAUCGGUAUCUUCCAAACAGCUGAUGGAAGGAGUGUAGCAAGGGAUUUCACCGACGUUGACGAUAUCGUGAAGGGGUGUUUGGCGGCCUUGGAUACUGCAAAGAAGAGCACUUGGAGUGGAGGAAAGAAGAGGGGGGCAGCGCAAUUGAGGGUCUUCAAUUUGGGGAAUACUUCGCGAGUACCUGUGAGUCGGCUUAUUGGCAUAUUGGAGAGUCUUUUGAAGAUGAAGGCUAAGAAAAAGGUGUUGCCAUUGCCUAGAAAUGGGGAUGUGGAGUUUACACACGCUAAUAUUAGUUUUGCGCAGAGGGAGCUUGGCUAUAAGCCUACAACUGAUUUGGAAACUGGGCUUAAGAAGUUUGUGAGAUGGUACCUCAGUUAUUAUUCAGGGUCAAAGAAGAAGAGUUCCUGGUGAAUGUUAAACGUUCUUUAAGUUUGCAAUAUCUAUUUUGGCGCAAACUUUGAAAUCUUUCUUCAUUUUGUGAUACAGUAGGAAUAUUUGUCUUGCAAUAUGUUUGUUUGCUGAUUGAUAAGCAUAUUCUUUGCAGGGCAUACCUGAAUUGUAUCAACAGUGAUUAUUUAUUUUUACUUCUCCACAUGUAUUGCUUCAUUCUUUCAGGAUAUCCUUUAUAGUUAGACAACGUAUUUAGUUAAAAUUGUCUAGCAAUUUCAAUAAAUUAGUUUGAUUGUGCAUUAAUUUUACAUGCCCUUCUUGAUUUUGCUCGAUUGGGGAGACUUUGGAAAAUAAUUGUGCUUUUUGUACAUCUUUUAUUCAUAUAAUGUAUAUUUUUACCUAGAUAUUGGGAUUAAAA